rnacentral:rRNA from 1 species
CCUACGGGUGGCAGCAGUGAGGAAUAUUGCACAAUGGGGGAAACCCUGAUGCAGCGACGCAGCGUGAAUGAAGAAGGACUUCGGUGUUUAAAGCUCUAUCAACAGGGAAGAAAAUGACUGUACCUGAGUAAGAAGCCCCGUCUAACUACGUGCCAGCUGCCGCGGUAAUACGUAGGGGGCAAGCGUUAUCCGGAUUUACUGGGUGUAAAGGGAGCGUAUACGGAAGUGCAAGUCUGGAGUGAAAGGCGGGGGCUCAACCCCAGGACUGCAGUGGAAACUGUAAGGCUGGAGUGCAAGAGAGGUGAGUGGAAUUCGUAGUGUAGCGGUGAAAUGCGUAGAUAUUAGGAGGAACACCAGUGGCGAAGGCGGCUCACUGGACUGUAACUGACACUGAGGCUCGAAAGCGUGGGGAGCAAACAGGAUUAGAUACCCCGGUAGUC